rnacentral:rRNA from 1 species
GGACAACGUGCCCUUAGGUUGGGUAUAAACCCGGGAAACUGGGUAUAAUACCCGAUAGGUCUCGAUUGCUGGAAUGCAUCGAGAUUUAAAGCUCCGGCGCCUAAGGAUGGGUCUGCGGCCUAUCAGGUAGUAGUGGGUGUAGCGUACCUACUAGCCUACGACGGGUACGGGUUGUGAGAGCAAGAGCCCGGAGAUGGAUUCUGAGACACGAAUCCAGGCCCUACGGGGUGCAGCAGGCGCGAAAACUUUACAAUGCUGGCAACAGCGAUAAGGGAACCUCGAGUGCCAGGUUACAAAUCUGGCUGUCGAGAUGCCUAAAAAGCAUUUCAUAGCAAGGGCCGGGCAAGACCGGUGCCAGCCGCCGCGGUAACACCGGCGGCUCGAGUGGUAACCGUUAUUAUUGGGUCUAAAGGGUCUGUAGCCGGCCGGAUAAGUCUCUUGAGAAAUCUGGCAGCUUAACUGUCAGGCUUUCAGGAGAUACUGUCUGGCUCGAGGCCGGGAGAGGUGAGAGGUACUUCAGGGGUAGGGGUGAAAUCUUGUAAUCCUUGAAGGACCACCAGUGGCGAAGGCGUCUCACCAGAACGGACCUGACGGCAAGGGACGAAAGCUAGGGGCACGAACCGGAUUAGAUACCCGGGUAGUCCUAGCCGUAAACGAUACUCGCUAGGUGUCGGCCACGGUGCGACCGUUGUCGGUGCCGUAGGGAAGCCGUGAAGCGAGCCACCUGGGAAGUACGGCCGCAAGGCUGAAACU